rnacentral:rRNA from 1 species
GAUGAACGCUGGCGGCGUGCCUAACACAUGCAAGUCGAACGAAGCACUUACCGUGAUCCUUCGGGUGAACGGUCUGUGACUGAGUGGCGGACGGGUGAGUAACGCGUGGGUAACCUGCCCUGUACAGGGGGAUAACAGCCAGAAAUGGCUGCUAAUACCGCAUAAGCGCAGGCCGUGGCAUCAUGGCUUGCGGAAAACUCCGGUGGUACAGGAUGGGCCCGCGUCUGAUUAGCUUGUUGGCGGGGUAAAGGCCCACCAAGGCGACGAUCAGUAGCCGGUCCGAGAGGAUGAACGGCCACAUUGGAACUGAGACACGGUCCAA